rnacentral:rRNA from 1 species
GACGUAGUUGAACGGAUCCUCACAAAUGCGACGUUAUCGGAACCAACCGGAAGAAGCAAUCACCGGAAAAGGAGCACACAACAUAGUAAAUAACCAACACAUCAACAUGGCAUGAUGCACAAACGAGUAUGAUGCAUGUCCGGUUUAAUGAAGCAUGGCAUGGCAAGGUGCACAAGCAGUUCUACAAAUUAAGUGGAGAUCAAUAUGCAACGAGUUGCAUAUUGACGAAACACCACAACAAGUUAUUUAGUUUGAUCUCGUUUAUGUACUCAACAAUAUUAAAUGUUGGUUAACAUGGCAAGGGGUGAAGCAUAAGGAAACUAACUAUUUAAGCAAGUUUUAAUGAGGCCGGAAGAAUAAACAACAAUUCCGGAAAAUCCCCAUGUGCACAUUUAGAAUUUGGUACUGUUCUGCCCUAAACACAAUUUUAGGGUUGUUAAACAUGCAAAGUAAGGCCACCAUGUUAAACUAGGCAAAAUUCUACCCCAUUUACAUAUAAAGUUUAUUAAAAUUGGAGUUACGGUUAUUUAGUUAUGAAAUAAAGCAUUUUAGCAUGGCAUAGGAGCAAAUUAAUGCAAACAGCAUUUUUAUCAUCUCAAACAUAGAUGAAAGUUGGAUAUUAUUAAUCUACACAAAAUUCUGAGCAAGUUUCAUAUAUAAAACAUUUUAAUCCGAUGCACGGUUUGUGAGUUAGUAAAUGCAUGAACUAGGGGGACUAAACUGUAAAACUGGCAGUCUCAGGAAUAAUAGGAAAAAUUCAGGCGCUGAAAAAAAAACACAUGACGGGCUGAAACAGAGGCCGGCCCAAGAAGAACAG